rnacentral:rRNA from 1 species
UACAGAGGUCUCAAGCGUUGUUCGGAUUCAUUGGGCGUAAAGGGUGCGUAGGCGGCGCGGUAAGUCGGGUGUGAAAUCUCGGAGCUUAACUCCGAAACUGCAUUCGAUACUGCGGUGCUUGAGGACUGGAGAGGAGACUGGAAUUCAUGGUGUAGCAGUGAAAUGCGUAGAGGUCAUGAGGAAGACCAGUGGCGAAGGCGGGUCUCUGGACAGUUCCUGACACUGAGACACGAAGGCCAGGGGAGCAAACGGG